rnacentral:rRNA from 1 species
UGGGGAAUAUUGCACAAUGGAGGGAACUCUGAUGCCGCGACGCCGCGUGAGUGAUGAAGGAAUUCGUUUCGUAAAACUCUGUUCUAUGGGAAGAAAAGGACCGUACCAUAGGAGAAAGCUCCGGCUAAAUACGUGCCAGCAGCCGCGGUAAUACGUAUGGAGCGAGCGUUUUCCGGAAUUAUUGGGCGUAAAGGGUGCGCAGGCGGCUUUACAAGUUGGAUGUGAAAUAUUGUGGCUCAACCACAAACGUGCAUCCAAAACUGCAAAGCUUGAGUUAAGGAGAGGUAAGUGGAAUUCCUGGUGUAGCGGUGGAAUGCGUAGAUAUCAGGAGGAAUACCGGUGGCGACGGCGACUUACUGGACUUAAACUGACGCUCAGGCACGAAAGCGUGGGGAGCAAACAGG